UCUGAAUCAGAGCUGGCCUUGUGAUUUGCCUUGGACAGCAGAAAGCAGAGGAAAUGAUUGUAUGCCAGUUUCAAGCUUGGGCUUCCAAAGGCCUUGCAAGUACUCACUCUUGGAGCCCUGCCUCCAUGGUGAGAGAAAUCCCGGGCUAGCCUUCCAGAGAUGAGAGACACAGGGAGCCAAGGUGGGCCCCUUAGCUGAUGCCAUCCUAGAGAAACCAAGUCCCCAUCCAACCUGGCAGCACAGUGCAAAUCCAAAAGGGAGCCCAGGUCAAAGAUGGACACCAUGAUGGUAUGGACUCUUUCAAGAAAGUUAGGUCUACUAUGAGGUCAAAAUAAUGUGUUGAAAGUCAAGCAACUGGUUGGAAUUAGUUUCUAAUUGAACUUGGAAACUCAUUGAUGAUUAUCCUAUCAACAUAUGAACUCUUCUUGUGAGUUCUCUUAAAACAUCACGAAAAUCAUGUUCAAGAAACAACUAUGAAUGCACUGAUAAUAUACCAACUUCUUGAAGAGAACAAGCCUUCAGAUGAUUUUCCUCAUUCACCCAACCUGUGGAGGUCUUAUCACAUUCAAGUCGAUAUUUAUUCAGUUGCAUAAUCCAUAACCUUUGCAAGAAAAUAUUUUACUUAGUCUAAUAGACUUCAACUUGAGUCUAUACUGGAAAAAAAAGAACUCAACAAGAAAGAAGAAAGAUUUUUGAAUGAACAGAAGACUGAGGUAAAAAAUUCAGAAUGUCUUCAAAAGAUAGCUAGAAGGCCAUCUCCAGAAGAAAAAGUUCUCCAACUCCGCUGUAUGGCCUAAGAUCACUUCCUAAGUGAUACUCGACACUCAAAGUGUGGUCUUAAGACCAGCAGUAUUGCCUCCUACUCACCACAGACCCACUGAAUCAGAAUUUGCAUUUUUAACAAGAUCUCCAGGUAAUUCAUAUGUAUAUUCAAGUUUGAGAAUCAUGGGUUUAGAGAUACUUGCUAUGAUUUUCAUGAUGUGGAUAGAAAGCUGAACAAGUGUAGGCUGGGCUAUUUUGAAGUAUUUUCUAUUUGUCAGCAGAGGAUGCUGACAAAGGAAGUUGCAGAUUUGGUGUUUCUUUAAGAUGAAUCACAGUUACUGAG
rnacentral:lncRNA from 1 species